AACGCCGCGUGGGGGAUGAAGCAUUAUGGUGUGUAAACCCCUGUAGGUAGGGACGAACGACAUGACUUCGUAAGGGGUUGUGUGUGACGGUACCUAUAAAGUAAGCUCCGGCUAACUCCGUGCCAGCAACCUCGGUGACUGAGCGGGCUGGCAAGGCGCAUA
rnacentral:rRNA from 1 species